rnacentral:tRNA from 1 species
GGGCCUGUGGCGGAACUGGCAGACGCAGCGGACUUAAAAUCCGCGGCCGGGUCGCACCGGCGUGCGGGUUCGACUCCCGCCGGGCCCA